UGUUCCGUUUUUUUUGGUUUUCCGGUUUAUCAUUCAAUACUUUACAUAAAAGUUAAAAAAAAAAAUUAUGUUAUAAAAGUUAAUUUUUCUACUUAUGCAUUACGUUUGGAUGGUUUGUUCAGUGUUUAAAUUAAUGUCAAAACAAAAUUAUUUUAAAAAGCUUAAAUUGUUUGAAGCAGUGAGACAUGAAUGUAUAAAUUACAUAUUAAUAAAGAUCUAAAAAUUUUUUUUAUUCAAACUGUAUUUUUGUUUUAAACAUUUCUCUAAUUAUCAAAUUAUUUUUAAUUUAUCAUUUACUUUAUAUGAAUGAUGCUUGAUAAAAAUUAAUACAAAACAAUAUUUUUUUAAAAUUAAUUUUUUAAUCGAAACUUAGAAGCAAGUUAAAACCAUUUUUAAAUAAACUUCAUAGAUUAUUAUAAAGAUUGUAUCAAUGUUAAGAACAAGUUUAUGUAUAUUAUAAAUGAUUUGGUAUGCUAAUUUUAUUAUAAUAUUAUAUGUGCUUUACGGAAAUAUUAUUCUAAAAAAGUAAAAAUUCUUUUCUAUCUAUCAAGCGGCAUUGGAUCUGAGACUGUUGAAGAAAAAGAUAGUUUUGUGGAAAUUAAGGAACAAUUAAGAAUACUUCUCAAAAACCAAAUUACUCGUUUUAGGCAUUGCUUCCCCUUUGGUCGACCAGAUGGUGCACUUAAAUCUGCACU